GAAAGCGUCGAGACGUGCAUUAAAAACUUGACAGCAACUCAGAGAGAAGGCCUUGGUGGGCGAGAGAACAUUCCACGAGAAGGUGCUCUCGGUUUUUGGCACGUGAGAAAAAAAAGGCACGCUUUGUGGCAACACCGUAAAGGGCCGCAAGAGGUGACAGCGACGAGGGGAUGCGCGACGUUCUACUCUCUCACCACGAUCGACAGGUUGGUUGGGGCAUACAUCAUCUUCACGGACGAUGUCGAGGAGUCCGCGAUGGAACUUGCUGCGACGACAGCCAGUGUUCCAGCCGCCGAGCAAUCCCGUCUACCACAAGCGGGCUUUGGCGCGACGUUUUUACAGCGAGGGUGGAAGUAGUCAUUCGUCUCAAAAGCCCCUGCGUCGGUGAAAGGGGCCCUACUCAGCCUCCCCACGCACCGCGAUCUUACGGGCCCGGCAGCAACCCUCUAUGCAGCUGACGUCGGGCAGCGCAGGGGCCACCGCUGCCAAUGUGCGGCACUCACACACGCACGGACCCAAUCGGACUGCACAGCUGAUACGCCCACAAAGGUGAUUACAGCCAUGGGUGGACGAGGCCUGUCCCCUUGGUCACACGUCUGCGUAACGGAUGAAAGCGGCCCCUCGAGCGUAGCGAAGACACAGCCAAUUUUUGUUUUGCUUAAAUGUGGCGGAGUGCUGAAGGACGCAGGUGGCUAUACGGGUGCGCCAGCAAUGAGUGCGCAUCGCGUUCUUCAUCCUUUCACCUCCUCUUCUCUAGAGAGUCGCGCGACAGUCGAACAAGAAACUGUGUUUUUUUUUUUCACGUUCGUUUCUUCUCCAUCUCUCUCUCUGUGGGUGUGUCACGCUCGCCCGCAUCGUUUCUGAUAUCUUCUCUCUCUCGUUACUGCCGUCCUACAGCAUCGCCCUCACUGUUAUGGCACCUCUUAUUGCCUGUUUUACCUUCAUGCCGGUAGUGGACACCGACCCUGACGAGUAUGUGAGCGGAUGACUGGCGGCCGCUGUUGGUACCUGUGUUUCUCCUUUGCUGUUGGUUUCUCGUGAGCCUCCACCGCCAUUAUGAUGCUGUGCUCUCUUCCUCGAGUACUCAUGCGUCGGCGUAGUUGUGCGUGUGACGUGUGUCUCGUUGCGCAGAAUCACUUUGUUCAUUCGUGAGAAUGGAGGAAAA
rnacentral:misc_RNA from 1 species